rnacentral:rRNA from 1 species
UACAGAGGUCCCGAGCGUUGUUCGGAUUCACUGGGCGUAAAGGGUGCGUAGGUGGUGAGGUAAGUCGGAUGUGAAAUCUCCAAGCUCAACUUGGAAAUGGCAUUGGAAACUACCUUGCUGGAGGUUUGGAGGGGGGACUGGAAUUCUCGGUGUAGCAGUGAAAUGCGUAGAUAUCGAGAGGAACACCAGUGGCGAAGGCGAGUCCCUAGACAAAACCUGACACUGAGGCACGAAAGCUAGGGGAGCAAACAGG